rfam:Corynebacterium mustelae strain DSM 45274, complete genome.
GUCGGUGGCAAUAGCGUCGGGGACACGCCCGGACCCAUCCCGAACCCGGAAGCUAAGCCCGACAGCGCUGAUGGUACUGCAAACGGAAGUUUGUGGGAGAGUAAGACACCGCCGACC